CAGCUCCUGGCAGAGGGCACAGGGGAGGCGUGUCUCCAGGCAACAGAGCCAAGUUUCAGUUAGGGAGGAGAAGAGACCACGCAGGAGAGGUAGGCGAAGGAGGAUUUUGCUGAUGACUGACCCAAGUUUCAGAAGGGAGGACAUCGCUUGAACAAUUCCGGGUCACUUCCCUUCAAGGCAGAUGUAAUGGAGCUUAAGAAAGUUCAGAGAAUGGCAACUAGAGUAAACAAGGAGAGAAAUGUACUUUCCUGUGAGAACAGAUUUUUUUUUUUUAAGAUGAAGAAGAAUACAUUACAGACUAGAGAGUUGACAUAUAUGAAACACUGAGCUCAUAGAAUGGAUCUCCAAAUGUGCGAUCUCUUUGAAACUAUGAAGAGUGGGCUUUCGUAUAACACUGGCUGCCACUUUUGAGCAUUUGCUCUGUGCCAGGGCUGCGAACUCGGUGAUUUACAACCACAAAAUUUAUUCUCGCACAGUUCCAGAGGCCAGAGUCCAAAAUGAAGGUGUCGGCAGGGCCACACUCCCUCCGAAGGCUCCGAGGGACAACCUCUUCUUGUAUCUUCCAGCUUCUGGUGGCUCCUGGCAUUCUGUGGCUUGUGGUAGCAUCACCCCAGUCUCUGCCUCUGUCUUGUGUGUCUCUUUGUGUCCUCUCCUCUUUUUCUUUUUAUUUUUUUGUGGGUGAAUUUUUUGUUCCAGUUUUAUUGAAAUGUUGUAACUGACAUACAACACUGUGUAAGUUACAGCAUCGUGAUUUGACUUACAUACAUCAUGAAAUGACUACCAUAAUACAUUUAAUAAACAUCCAUCACCUCACACAGACACAAAAUUAAGAAAAAGAAAAAUAAACCUCUUUUUUCCUUUUGAUGAGAACUCAGGAUUUAUUCUCUUAACAACUUUCAUAUAUAACAUAUAGCAGUGUUAAUUAUAUUUAUCAUGCUGUGUGAUAAAUAUAUCAUACAUCCUUGUAUUUAUUUAUCAUACACGCUUAGUAUUUAUCUCAUAACUGGAAGUUCAUGCCUUUUGACUGCCUUUAUCCAAUUCCCCCCUCCCCCACCCCCUGCCUCUGGUAACCACAAAUCUGAUCGCUUUUUCUAUGAGUUUGGUUGGUUAUUUAUUCAGGUGUAAUUGACCCACAGCACUGUGUCAGUUCCUGGCACAGACUUUCCUCUUCUUCUAAGAACACUGCUCAUUGAAUUUAGGGCCUGCCCUAAAUCCAGGAUGACUUCAUUUCAAGAUCCUUAACCAAUUACAUCUGCAAAGACCUUCUUUCCAAAUAAGUCCACAUUCUGAAGUUCUGGGUGAAUAUGAGUUGUGAGGGGACGUUAUUCGACCCACUAUAAUGUGUGACCUAUUGCAGGAAAUGGACAAAAGGGGGAGACUAUGCAUUUAUAAGACAGGAAAUUCAUUUACUCUUUGUGAUUAACUUGUUAUUCUUACUAUAGCGAACUAUCUCAUGAUUGUUGAUAAUUAAAAGCAAACUUGACUAUAGCCACCAUGGAGAACAGUAGGGAGGUUCUUUAAAAUGCUAAAAAUAGAACUAUUGUGCAACCCAGCAAUCCUACUCCUGGGCAUAUACCUGGAGAAAACCGUAAUUCAAAAAGAUACAUGCACCCCGACGUUCUUUGUAGCACUAUUUACAAUAUCCAGGAUAUGAAAGCAACCGAAAUGUCUUUCAACAGAUGAAUGGACAAAGAAGAUGUGGUAUAUAUAUAUAUACAAUGGAAUGUUACUCAGCCAUAAAAAGGAAUGAAAUAAUGCCAUUUGCAACAAUAUGGGUGGACCUAGAGAAUAUCAUACUAAGUGAAGCAAGUCUGACAGAGAAAAACAAAUAUCAUGUAUCAACUCAUAUAUGUGGAAUCUAGAAAAAUGGUACAAAUGAACCUGUUUGCAAAGCAGAAAUAGAGACUUAGAUGUAGAGAGCAAAAGUAUGGACACCAAGGGGGGAAAGGGGGGGUGGGAUUAAUUGGGAGAUUGGGAUUGACAUAUAUAUACUACUAUGUAUAAAACAGAUGGCCAAUGAGAACCUGCUGUAUAGCACAAGGAAUUCUAUUCAGUGCUCUGUGGUGACCUAAAUGGGAAGGAAAUCCAAAAAUGAGGGGAUAUAUGUACAUAGAGAGCUGAUUCACUUUGCUGUACAGCAAAAACUAACACAUUGUAAAGCAACUAUACUCCAAUAAAAAUUUUUUAAAAGUUUUUAAUAAUCAGUUAUUAAAAGUUUUGAAUCAGUUAUUAAAAGCUUUUCAUCAAAAAAAAAAGCAAACUUGACUUUUUUCUGUAUCCUGUAGGCCAGUGGUGCCCAGAUGCUGGGUAAUAGAAUAGCACUGGUCCAAGGGAAGUUUUCACAGGCCAAGGCAUCUUUCCCUAGCAACCCUACAGGCCCUGAGUUGAGGCCCAGGGGCCUCUAGCUGCCCAGCCUCAGCUAAGAGGAAUCACUGAGUAGGAGUUUCUUAUAGGCACCUGGGUCCCACCCCCCAGAUUCUUCAGGGCCCAGUAAGCUAUAACUAUGGCCUCAGAGCUGUCAGUGAACUUGCUUCAAUUUACACAGAAUAUUUCAAAUUAAGGGAAAUGCCAUGAAAAGUGUUACUUUCACUUUUGUUAACAAAUCUAUGAGAAACAGAGUUUAAUAAUGAAUGAUAAAGGCAAAACAUGAGGAUAAAUUGAACAUUUAUGCUCUACUUCAUAGUAUCUCAUUGAAUAUAUAACUGCGAGCUGAUAAAUGUGUACCAAAGUAACAAUUAUAUAAAUGUAAUAUUGUAAAAUAAAAUUUCAUAUUGCAAUUCUAAACUC